ensembl:lncRNA
GCCACAUUUGUUAUUUUGUAUUUGUGUUCAUGUUUAGUUUUUCUUAUUAUAAAAACAUGAACUCUAACAACGCUGCAUUUUGGUCCUCCUCUCCUUCCCAGGAAGAAAGCCGUUACAUCUACUAAUAAAAGAAUGGACGACCGGACCAGAGAAGAGAAGUCCAGGACCUGAAGAACAGUUUGCAGUUUUCCCAGGGUCAGCUCGACGAGUUGAAAUAGGAGAACGGCAAGAUGACAUCAAUCUGGACAAUCAUGGUUGUGGACGGAAUUGCAGAAUCUCCACAAGAGACCAGGAGUCCGAGGACAAAGUGAGGGAAAUUAUCUCUGAGAUAUUGAAGAUGGACAACAAGAAGAUUGAGGUGGAGCGCUCCUACAGGAUUGGAAAACCCACCACCAGCCCAGGUGACUGGACCAGGCCUAUAGUGGUCAAGUUCCUGAGGUUCAAGGACAAGGUAGCUGUUCUGGAAAGAGCCAAGAACUUGAGAGGAACGUAUAUCUUCCUCAACAAGGACUAUCCUGAAGCUGUGCGCCAGAAGAGGAAAGAUCUGAUCCCAGCCAUGAAAGCUGCGCGUGGGGACAUUGCUUACAUCCACUAUGACAGGCUCAUUGUCCACCCUCUCUUCAAAAAGCCUGGAAGGGAUGAGAGAGCCAAGCCUAUGGGUUCGUAGCCUCAACCACGCAACACAAACACACCAACUGAUUAAUGGACUGGUGAAUGUAUUUCUUUUAUGUUGCUUUGUCUGCUCUUUUCAAUAUUAUGUCUCUCUGUUACUACCCAGGAAAGGGCUGAAAAUAGCCCAUAUUAAUGUAUGUAGCCUUAGAAAUUAGGUUCAUGAAAUCAAUAACUUGCUAACGUCAGUUAACAUUUAUAUAUCAGCCAUUUCUGAGACUCUCUUCUGCUUAGAGAAUAUCUUCUGUCAAGUGUUAUUGAAGUGUUGUGGUUGCAGGUUCACCUGACACAUCUACAGCCUUUUCUUUUGGGGUGUUGCUAUAGGCCACCAGGUGCUAACAGUCAGUAUCUAAAUAAUAUGUGUGAAAUGCUUGAUAGUGUAUGUGAUGUAAACAGAG